rnacentral:rRNA from 1 species
GAUGAACGCUAGCGGCAGGCCUAACACAUGCAAGUCGAGGGAUCAGACUUCGGGCUUAGUCCGGCGCACUGGUGCGUAACGCGUAUACUAACUGCCUUUUAUCCGGGGGAUAGCCCGAAGAAAUUUGGAUUAAUACCCUAUUGUUACAGAGCACGACAUCGUGCCCUUAUUAAAGAUACGGAGGUACAAGAUGGGUAUGCGUUCUAUUAGCUAGUUGGCCAGGUAACGGCUACCCAAGGCUACGAUCGUUAGGGGUCAGGAGAGUGAAGUCCACCACACUUGUACUACGAUACAGACCAGACUCCGACGGGAGGCAGGAGUAAGGAAUAUUGUACGAUGGUCGGAAGAGGGAUCCAGCCAUGCCGCGUGCAGGAUUACGGGCUUAGGAGAAGUAAACUGUUAGGGUAGGAGAAGAAUGUAAGUAACUUGUACUUUGUUGACGGUACCUUACGAAAAAGCAACGGCUAACUCCGUG